rnacentral:rRNA from 1 species
UACGGGGGGAGCAAGCGUUGUUCGGAUUUACUGGGCGUAAAGGGCGCGUAGGCGGCGUAACAAGUCACUUGUGAAAGCUCCGAGCUUAACUCGGAAAUUGCAUUGAAUACUAUUCUGCUAGAGGGUUGAAGGGGGGACUGGAAUUCUCGGUGUAGCAGUGAAAUGCGUAGAUAUCGAGAGGAACACCAGUGGCGAAGGCGAGUCCCUGGACAACUCCUGACACUGAGGCACGAAAGCUAGGGGAGCAAACGGG